rnacentral:rRNA from 1 species
CAGCCGCCGCGGUAAUACGGAGGAUUCAAGCGUUAUCCGGAAUCAUUGGGUUUAAAGGGUCCGUAGGCGGCUUUAUAAGUCAGUGGUGAAAUCUCCCCGCUCAACGGGGAAACGGCCAUUGAUACUGUAGGACUUGAAUUAUUGGGAAGUAACUAGAAUAUGUAGUGUAGCGGUGAAAUGCUUAGAGAUUACAUGGAAUACCAAUUGCGAAGGCAGGUUACUACUAAUUGAUUGACGCUGAUGGACGAAAGCGUGGGUAGCGAACAGGAUUAGAUACCCUGGUAGUCCACGCCGUAGACGAUGGAUACUAGCUGUUGGGAGCGAUCUCAGUGGCUAAGCGAAAGUGAUAAGUAUCCCACCUGGGGAGUACGUUCGCAAGAAUGAAACUCAAAGGAAUUGACGG